CAGACCUGCAGAGGGAUUCCCGGCAGAGGAUUCCCAGGAAGGUUUUCGAGCUGGAUUUCCAGAAGAACAUCGACUUCCAGGCCCAUUUCCAGAGGACCAAGGCAUCCACAACUUUGGCCAAAUCCACCCUGGAGAGCCAGAACAGCCGGAGCACCACGCUCCCUGCAGACUUCAACUACGAACCCGAGAGCCUGGGACAGCUCUUCCUCAAGCCCCACGUCCAGGUCAGCCCAAGCUUGGAUCCAGAGGGAGCCUUGGACAGCGAGGUUGGAAUUGAGGAUUACGACUACAACAACCCCAACGACACCUCCAACUUCUGCCCUGCCCUGCAGGUUCCUGACAGCGAUGACGAUCCCG